AGGUUACAAUUAAAUUAAUGAAAAAAAUUGUGUUGCUAUCAACAUGAUCAUAAAAGUGACUGUAAAUGUCAAAAUUUGUUAUUAAAAUUAAAUUUGUUGAAUAGUGUUAACUUUAAAUUAUCCGGAUUGAAGCAAUUUUUCGAACAUCAGGUACACUGCAAGUGGUUUUUACUGGUUUGUUUAUAGUGCGUCAUUACUGGUACCCAUCAUAAGUUGACAGUCCGUUUGUAAUGUUAGCAAACAUGAUUUUUAUUGCUUUUACUGUUUCAAAAAUCAACUGUUUAAUGAUUGAAAUACAUUAACAAGUGAUCAAUCUUUCAUUCUAUUCCGUGUUUCUUUUUCUUUUAAAUGGUAGAUUAAAUGCAGAGACAAACACAACGUUAGGUGCGUCAUUACUGGUUCCUCGGGGAUAUAAAGGAAAUAACUACGUAGGACAACAGGGUAAUUUAAUAGCCUUACAACCCCUGAUAACAUACAAAGAGAGAAAAAAAACAUACUAGGAAACAUAUUCAAAAAUCAUAACACUAUAACUAACUGGUGGGAUGUAUAAAUACCGAGCCGCGUCAAAGAGUAUUCAUCAAAAUACACAUAGAAAGAAACAGAGGUGAAGGUAAACCGCAAAC
rnacentral:lncRNA from 1 species